rnacentral:rRNA from 1 species
UAAUACGAAGGGGGCUAGCGUUGUUCGGAAUUACUGGGCGUAAAGCGCGCGUAGGCGGUGAUCCAUGUCAGAGGUGAAAGCCUGGAGCUCAACUCCAGAAUUGCCUUUGAAACGGGAUCGCUAGAGUCCGAGAGAGGAUGGCGGAAUUCCUAGUGUAGAGGUGAAAUUCGUAGAUAUUAGGAAGAACACCGGUGGCGAAGGCGGCCAUCUGGCUCGGUACUGACGCUCAGGCGCGAAAGCGUGGGGAGCAAACAGGAUUAGAUACCCUGGUAGUCCACGCCGUAAACGAUGAGUGCUAGUUGUUGGGAAGUUUACUUCUCAGUGACGCAGCUAACGCGUUAAGCACUCCGCCUGGGGAGUACGGUCGCAAGAUUAAAACUCAAAUGAAUUGACGG